rnacentral:rRNA from 1 species
UACAGAGGGUGCGAGCGUUAAUCGGAAUUACUGGGCGUAAAGCGCGCGUAGGCGGCUUCGCAAGUCGAGUGUGAAAUCCCCAGGCUCAACCUGGGAACUGCGUCUGAUACUGGAUGGCUUGAAUCCGGGAGAGGGAUGCAGAAUUCCAGGUGUAGCGGUGAAAUGCGCAGAUAUCAGGAGGAACACCGGUGGCGAAGGCGGUUCUCUGGGCCUGUACUGACGCUGAGGAACGAAAGCGUGGGGAGCGAACAGG